GGACCUGACUGCUAUCGGAUUGAUACUAAGCCAUGCGAGUCAUUGUAGCAAUACAAGGCAUACGGCUCAGUAACGCGUAGUCAACCUAACCUAUGGACGGGAAUAACCUCGGGAAACUGAGAAUAAUGCCCGAUAGAACAUUAUGCCUGGAAUGGUUUAUGUUCCAAAUGAUUUAUCGCCGUAGGAUGGGACUGCGGCCUAUCAGUUUGUUGGUGAGGUAAUGGCCCACCAAGACUAUUACAGGUACGGGCUCUGAGAGGAGUAGCCCGGAGAUGGGUACUGAGACACGGACCCAGGCCCUAUGGGGCGCAGCAGGCGAGAAAACUUUGCAAUGUGCGAAAGCACGACAAGGUUAAUCCGAGUGGUUUCUGCUAAAGAAACCUUUUGUCAGUCCUAGAAACACUGAUGAAUAAGGGGUGGGCAAGUUCUGGUGUCAGCG
rnacentral:rRNA from 1 species